rnacentral:sRNA from 1 species
AUUUUGCGUGAGGGAUAGUAGUGAAAAUCCUUUUAUCAAGCUAUGAGCGAGAUAAAAGAUUGUAACGAAUAGCCCGACCGAGG